rnacentral:rRNA from 1 species
CCUACGGGAGGCAGCAGUGAGGAAUAUUGGUCAAUGAACGGAAGCCUGAACCAGCCAUGCCGCGUGCAGGAAGACGGCUCUAUGAGUUGUAAACUGCUUUUGUAAAAGGGUAAACUUGAAUCCGUUUAUUCAGCUGAAAGUACUGUACGAAUAAGGAUCGGCUAACUCCGUGCCAGCAGCCGCGGUAAUACGGAGGAUCCAAGCGUUAUCCGGAUUUAUUGGGUUUAAAGGGUGCGUAGGCGGAUUGAUAAGUUAGAGGUGAAAUGUCCGAGCUUAACUCGGGAACUGCCUCUAAUACUGUUGAUCUAGAGAGUAGAUGCGGUAGGCGGAAUGUAUGGUGUAGCGGUGAAAUGCUUAGAGAUCAUACAGAACACCGAUUGCGAAGGCAGCUUACCAAUCUAUAUCUGACGUUGAGGCACGAAAGCGUGGGGAGCAAACAGGAUUAGAUACCCGGGUAGUC